UACGGGGGAGCAAGCGUUGUUCGGAUUUACUGGGCGUAAAGGGCGCGUAGGCGGCCACCGCAAGUCGACUGUGAAAUCUCCGGGCUUAACCCGGAAAGGUCAGCCGAUACUGCGGGGCUAGAGUGCAGAAGGGGCAACUGGAAUUCUCGGUGUAGCGGUGAAAUGCGUAGAUAUCGAGAGGAACACCUGCGGCGAAGGCGGGUUGCUGGGCUGACACUGACGCUGAGGCGCGAAGGCGUGGGGAGCGAACGGG
rnacentral:rRNA from 1 species